rnacentral:misc_RNA from 1 species
GGAAUGCUUUUAUUUGAUCCUCUUUUAGAUUACGAUAUAGGGAUGUGUUCACAUUUGACUAGUGAACUGUAAGUGUCUUGAUAAUGCGAAGUUAAUAAUUUGCAAGAGUUAGAAAACUCUGAAAGCUUGCUUUGGUAAUGAGAGGUUUAGUUAAAUGGUGUUGGAGUCGGUUUAAUUUAGUUGUUUUUAAGGUAAUAAAAUAUGAAUUCGAACCCCAUUCAAAAGUAGGAUGUCAGGCCUGCUUAGCUUUCUCAUUUUUGAUCCAUUAGUGUGAAGUUUAACACAAUAACAAUUAAGUUAACAAUUAAGUAAUCCUAUGCGUAUUUUCUUUUUUGGCCAUUCAGCUAAGUUAUCAUUAAUAUUAGAAAGUUUAUAUUUUUUUUGCAUAAUUUUUUGUUUUUUUAUUUAUUACUUUAUCACUGAUUUAUUAUAUCUAGUUAAAAAUGCGCUUGAUAUAAAUUAAAAUUAAUUCUAAUUCGUAUUGCAAGGUGGUUAAAAAAAAAUGAGAUAAAGCUAUUUACUCGUGUAGCAAAUUACAUUUAAGGCGGUACAAAUGAACAAUUGCUACCCUUAUGUGAUCUUCUGGGCAGUUAGGCU